GACGAACGCUGGCGGCGUGCCUAAUACAUGCAAGUCGAGCGGGGAUUAUGCUUGAUCGCUUCGGUGAGACGGCAUAUAUCCUAGCGGCGGACGGGUGAGUAACGCGUGGGUAAUCUACCUCGUAGUUCGGGAUAACAGGCCGAAAGGCUUGCUAAUACCGGAUGAGUUCAUGCUUAUGCAUAUAGGCAUGAAGAAAGGGCUAGCCCGCUAUGAGAUGAGCCCGCGUCCCAUUAGCUUGUUGGUGGGGUAAUGGCCUACCAAGGCAACGAUGGGUAGCCGGCCUGAGAGGGUGUACGGCCACACUGGGACUGAGACACGGCCCAGACUCCUACGGGGGGCAGCAGUAGGGAAUUUUCGGCAAUGGGCGAAAGCCUGACCGAGCGACGCCGCGUGAGGACGAAGGCCUUCGGGUUGUAAACCUCUGUCUGGGGGAUGAGAACGGACGGUACCCCGGAGGAAGCCCCGGCUAACUACGUGCCAGCAGCCGCGGUAAAUCACGUGUA
rnacentral:rRNA from 1 species